UAAUGUUAGCAUGAUGUUAGCUGCUAAUGUUAGCAUGAUGUUAGCUGCUAAUGUUAGCAUUAUGUUAGCAUAAUGUUAGCUGCUGAUGUUAGCUGCUAAUGUUAGCUGCUGAUGUUAGCAUAAUGUUAGCUGCUGAUGUUAGCAUAAUGUUAGCAUAAUGUUAGCUGCUGAUGUUAGCAUAAUGUUAGCAUAAUGUUAGCUGCUGAUGUUAGCAUAAUGUUAGCAUAAUGUUAGCAUAAUGUUAGCUGCUGAUGUUAGCAUAAUGUUAGCAUAAUGUUAGCUGCUGAUGUUAGCAUAAUGUUAGCAUAAUGUUAGCAUGAUGUUAGCAUAAUGUUAGCAUAAUGUUAGCAUAAUGUUAGCUGCUGAUGUUAGCAUAAUGUUAGCAUAAUGUUAGCAUGAUGUUAGCAUAAUGUUAGCAUAAUGUUAGCAUAAUGUUAGCAUGAUGUUAGCAUAAUGUUAGCAUAAUGUUAGCAUGAUGUUAGCAUAAUGUUAGCAUAAUGUUAGCAUAAUGUUAGCAUGAGCCUGGCUCACAGAGCAGUGAGCUGCUGAACUUGUGUCUUUAGUAUAACUAGUCAUCUACAGAUCAAGUUAAAGAUGUCUGCGUUGUGGCUAAAUGUUCUCUUCGGCCACUGAAAGUGUUUUGUUCUUAAAGGGCCGUCGUGUUGGACCCGUGACAUCUAGAGACAGAUGAAAGCGUGGACGAGCAGCGUGGAGGAGCACCGUGGAGGAACAGCGUGGAGGAGCACCGUGGAGGAACAGCGUGGAGGAGCACCGUGGAGGAGCAGCGUGGAGGAGCACCGUGGAGGAACAGCGUGGAGGAGCACCGUGGAGGAGCAGCGUGGAGGAGCACCGUGGAGGAGCAGCGUGGAGGAGCACCGUGGAGGAACAGCGCGGAGGAGCACCGUGGAGGAGCAGCGUGGAGGAGCACCGUGGAGGAACAGCGUGGAGGAGCACCGUGGAGAGGACUCCAUGAAGACGACUUUCAGAUACAAAUCACAACCACUCAUGCAAGACAACAAAAUGGUCCAGCUCGGUUCCAGUUCAUCUCCUGGACGAGUGAGAACAAAAUGUCAACAGCUUCCAGUCCUCCCACAUUCACACGAGAGGCCAAAAGGUCAACAGGCGGCGGCGGUGACGCGGCGCGAUCGAUCGAACGGAGUGUGAAGACCCUCAGAUCAGGCUGCAGCUGGUAAACAAACCCUCAGGCUGAACGGAGAGCUGCUUUCUCUACUAGAAACGUCUCCAGCUUCCUGUCCACCAUGUCGGCUGCAGCUUCCUCAGAGGAAACCUUCAAUAACGGAUCUCAGCUCUCCUGUCAAACACGUUUCCACCUCCGAUCUGUCGCUGACUGAAGUUUUGACUGAACAGUGGAGGCCUCCUUCAUGACUCACCUGGACUCGUGACUCCGGCAGGUUGAUCUUCAGAGCGACCUCCUCCCUCAUGAAGAUGUCCGGGUACCGGGUCUUACCGAACAGAGCCUCCAGGAUGUCCAGCUGGGACCGGGUGAAGGUGGUCCGCUCACGACGCUGCUUCCUGGGGGUCGCUGAGAAGGAGGAGAACACACCAUAUUAUAUUAUUAUAUUUUAUUAUUAUUAUUAUAUUAAUAUUAUUAUAUUAUUAUAUUAUAGUAUUAUAUUAAUAUUAUAUAACAGCAGCAGUCACAGUCCAGUCAGAUCAGUUAGUUUAGAGCUUUAAAAACACGGUUAAAUGUGCAGUUAUACUUUAAUAAAACACACUUCAACAUCAAGUCCAGAUUUGAAAUAUUAUUGAGAGUUAUGUAAUUGGUUUAUUAUCUAAGUGAGAAAAAGAUGCAUUUAUUUCUGCUGUUUAAUUACUGUGGAUAAAAACAAUUUCACUUCUUUAUAUUUACAUUAAUAAAGAGAAUCACUGUUUUAACUAAA